GCACGGAAGCCUGACUACCCUGAGAGGCGUAGCUCUUCAAACGGUAGCUCUGUGGUUACCUGAUCAAAGCUGCCAGAUGAAGAGCUGUGCUUCCAGGGCACUAUCCUCGAAUACUGCA
rnacentral:pre_miRNA from 16 species